GUAUGAAGCAAGUUCAUAGUGCCUCUGUGCGUGAUGAGUCGAGCGAUGGAAUCGACCUGGCCAGCCUGGAGAAGGAAGUAGAAGCUGCAGAAAAAUACUGGCAAAGCGACAAAUCCAACUCAUGAUCAACAACAAGCUGUAGGAUUUUUUGAUGAUGUUGAGGAUGACUUGACAGGACAUGAUAAAUGACUAAACUCGAGGUAAGGGAUGUUAUGAACCAGCCUCUGGAGUUAACGUUGCUAUUCCCUUUCAGUUCAAAGAAGGCUGACUCCUGAUCUUACAAACCAGUAGCGUGAUAUUAAAGUUGCAUCCUUUGAUGUAUAUUAAUCUAAUAUUUCUUAGGUUAUUUGGUCCUUGAAUCCUCAUAACAAAGCUAUUUGGAAAGCCAAACAGCCUCUCAAGAUUAAAUUGUUUUUUUGGCAACUUUUCAGGAUGCUGUUCUCAGUAGGGGUACACUAGGGGUAAUAUGAGGACGCGGAAUUGGUUGGGGUGCCCUAAAUGCUCUUUUUUGUGAGGAUUUUAUGACAUAAUCAAAAUUUCCAACAUUCAUUUUCCAA